CGCCGUUGUGGCCGAACGGCGGGUGGCCCAUGUCGUGGGCCAGGCAGGCGGUCUCGACCAGGUCCGGGUCGCAGCCGAGGACCGCGCC
rnacentral:tRNA from 1 species